rnacentral:SRP_RNA from 1 species
GCUGGGCAUGGUGGCGCGUGCCUAUAGUCCCAGCUACUCGGGAGGCUGAGGCAGGAGAAUCGCUUGAACCCAGGAGGCGGAGGUUGCAGUGAACCGAGAUCAUGCACUGUUUUUUUUGUUUGUCUGUUUUGAGACGGAGUUUCGCUGUUGUUACCCAGGCUGGAGAGCAGCGGUGCAGUCUUGGCUCACUGCAGCCUCCACUUCCCAGGUUCAAAUGCUUCUCCUGCCUCAU